CCCGGUGGCUCAGAUGGUACAGCAUCUGCCUGCAAUGCAGAAGACCGGGGUUUGAUCCCUGGGUCGGGA
rnacentral:tRNA from 1 species